rnacentral:rRNA from 1 species
CUACGGGUGGCAGCAGUGGGGAAUAUUGGACAAUGGACCAGAAGUCUGAUCCAGCAAUUCUGUGUGCACGAUGACGGUUUUCGGAUUGUAAAGUGCUUUCAACAGGGAAGAAGUUCUGACGGUACCUGUAGAAGAAGCGACGGCUAAAUACGUGCCAGCAGCCGCGGUAAUACGUAUGUCGCAAGCGUUAUCCGGAUUUAUUGGGCAUAAAGGGCAUCUAGGCGGCUUAGUAAGUCUGAUGUGAAAAUGCGGGGCUCAACUCCGUAUUGCGUUGGAAACUACUAAGCUAGAGUAUUGGAGAGGUAGGCGGAACUACAUGUGUAGAGGUGAAAUUCGUAGAUAUAUGUAGGAAUGCCGAUGACGAAGGUAGCUUACUGGACAAUUACUGACGCUGAAGUGCGAAAGCUAGGGGAGCAAACAGGAUUAGAUACCCUCGUAGUC